rnacentral:rRNA from 1 species
UACGGAGGAUCCGAGCGUUAUCCGGAUUUAUUGGGUUUAAAGGGUGCGUAGGCGGCCUAUUAAGUCAGGGGGUGAAAGACGGUAGCUUAACUAUCACAGUGCCUUUGAUACUGAUAGGCUUGAAUGUACUUGAGGUAGGCGGAAUGUGACAAGUAGCGGUGAAAUGCAUAGAUAUGUCACAGAACACCAAUUGCGAAGGCAGCUUACUAAAGUAUGAUUGACGCUGAGGCACGAAAGCGUGGGGAGUCAAACAGGA